UACGUAGGGUGCGAGCGUUUGUCCGGAAUUAUUGGGCGUAAAGGGCUCGUAGGCGGUUUGUCGCGUCGGGAGUGAAAACUCAGGGCUUAACCCUGAGCCUGCUUCCGAUACGGGCAGACUAGAGGUAUGCAGGGGGAGAACGGAAUUCCUGGUGUAGCGGUGAAAUGCGCAGAUAUCAGGAGGAACACCGGUGGCGAAGGCGGUUCUCUGGGCAUUACCUGACGCUGAGGAGCGAAAGUGUGGGGAGCGAACAGG
rnacentral:rRNA from 1 species